UAAAUAAGCGAAGGCAUCUGCAUUCAUGUACUUAUGCCAGUGUAGAUAUGUGUCUUCUUUAAAGUUGGUCUUACAUAUUUAAUUCAUUUUAAAAUUAGAUUUAUAAUUUCGGCGUGUCUCGGAAGACUCCCAAAGCGAUGAGUUAAUCUUUGCUGCCAAGCAAGUCGAAACCUAGCUACUGGGCUCGCUGAAAUUUAUGUGGGUGCAGCUCGCGGUAAAUAUAUACAUCAGACAUUCCCUCCCUUUGGUUGGGGAGAAUUGACGAAGAGGGCAUCAAGUAAUGACAAAUGUUUGUUGCAAAAUUUUGCCUUUCUCUCUGUCUAUAUUCAUACAUCGUCAUUCAGUUUCUACUCUUAAUACUUUCUCCUAUUUGUAUUAGACAAUGAGAAGUAGAAACUGUCACCAUUAUCCCCUUCCUUACUUUGGAUUGCCAUACCCUAACGAAGUGAACUUUAGAAUCUGAUAAGCACAUACGUCAUCGGCUUGGUGUGUCUUUAAUUAAACCUUGCAGUCUAUGAGUUCUAUCAUAGCGUAUCAAAAGACACGUAUUAGGCAGAUAAGUGCAAACGAGUUGAGUGCGGCAGUAAGUAUUAGAAUUCCUUUAUUCAGUUAGUGGCAUGACAUGUGCUGUAGAUUUCUGAAUUUACAACAUUUAUUACAUAGCCUUUACUUUCCUUUUGUGAAUUCUUGCUUCUCCUUGGCAUGUUAGGUGUCUGUGCGCUUGUUUCAUUCUCUCCAAAAAGAAAAUACGUGUGUACUUGUCACGUGCCUCAUACAUGUUGAAAUGAAAAGAAUACAUUGUGUAGGUAGUAAUUUUCUGGUGUCUAACAACUCUGGUUAUCUAGAACAUGUGUAGUGGAUGACUAAGUUUUGGCUGUAAAACAAAAGGAAUUUAAGGAAAUACAAUUCAGGAAAGAUACUUGUGGUUUGUUGUUCGGUUUUAAGAAAUUUAGUACAACGUGUUUGCAAUGGCAAGAAUCAAAAUGGUAAUUAAGAUGGGUGCUUGUUUGAGUACUUACCUUUUGUGGUCCUGGGAAGCUCAUAUGCUUGUUUCAACUAGGUGAUUUGUGGAGGAAAUUUGCAGCUUCACUUAGAACCACAUUGGAUCAUUCUCUGUGGUACAUGUUUGAUCCAUGAUUCAUGAAUUUGUAGUUGCUGGAUGUGUGUAGCCACUUAUGUUUGUUGUAUCCAUGAAUAACUUUAAAUAGAUAACCCGCUACUUAUGUUUGUUGUGUCCAUGAAUUUGUAGUUGGUGGAUACGGCGCCUAUGCCUCUUUUCUUUGAGGGUUUAAAGCGAAUUGGUAACCUAUUUUUUUAUUGUUUGCGGACUUUGAUUCUGGCGAAGUCAUUUUUUUUGCUUUUGCUUUCAGUUUUCUGGUGUAUCUUUUUGUUCCAAUGUUUUAUUAUGUCUUCCGAUUAUUAGAGUUAAGCAACACUUGUACAUUGCUGUUGUUAAAAUCUUCUUGUUCCUCAAGGCAAGAGAGUUAGACAGACAGCAUCAAUGAUGGACAAAAACCUUGUAAUCAUCCUUGCACUUUGAAAUUUCAUAGUGAAGAAAACUAAUGGCGAAAUAUGAGUCUGAGAUGCUUUUUUGCGUUCUUUUCGGGCUUGUGUUUUUUGUAUGAAAAGGAAUUUUUUCUCAAUCUGUAAACUUUUUACUGUUAUCAGGAUCAAUGAUGUUUAAAUACUGCGUUAUCUUCCUGAAAAAAAUGCGUACUGAGGUCCUUCCAAAAACAGUUUAUUGCGUUUGGUUUGAUUUCAUGAUUUAUUUAGAGUUUCCUGAAUUUUUGAGUACCCUGUUUGGAGUUUGGCUGAUUUUGAAUGUGUUCUAUUUUGUUGUUUUGUAAGUUGCCAAACAACUUUGUAUGGAUUUGAAUAUAAUGAUAGGUGUUGUCGCCCCAGUCUUACAUGCAUCAAUGGUGCAACAUGCUGAUUGACUUCAAUUUCUGAUUCAAAUAAUUAUUUUUUUUUAAAAGAGGGGUUAAAAUUGAUAACUGGAUGCCGAGGAGGCAUAAAUUACAGAGAAUUACAUGGAAAAUAAAUAAAGAUAAACAAUACAGUAUAUAAACUAACAAGCAUCAUCUUAGAAGAGCUCAUGCGCACAAACAAUACAUACACCAGCUUAAUGCCAUCCCAGUCACUUCGGAUAAAGCUUUUCCUCCCACCUAGCCACCAGAUCUUCUGAUUCAAAUAAUUACACAAGGAUAUCAUCUAGACUUGAUUAUUUCAGUUUCAUAUCUAGACUUUAACUUGUCUAAGGUAUUAUCUACUAGCCCACACAUUCUAGAAAGAAGUUUGGAAAAUCAUAUCAUUCCCUUUUUCGAUUUCAUCAGGAACAUUGUUGGUACUGCCCCACUAUACAUUUUUUUUUUGCGACGCCUUAGGGGUUGAUCCUGUAGAUCUGGAUGAAUGAUAUACAUUUUUCGAUUUCGUCCCUCCAUCCGAUGUUGUGUCGAGAUUGUUUUUGAUGUGUUGCUGGAUAAAUCAGAGAUUGAGAUUUGCUCUUUUUAUGUGUUUCGAUAUUUAGCUAUUGGUUUGUUGUUUUCUCUUUGUUAAUCCUUCAUGUUCUUAUUUUCUGCGACCUUAGUGUACUACUAUUGCAGGUAUUGGGUUGAAUUCUGGCAAUUAGUCAGUAUCUUAUACGAACCAUCUUCAUUUACGAAUGGAGUGAAUUUUUUAUGGAUGAGGAGGGGAUGGUUAUAUGAGUUUACUCGGUGAUUGCAUGGGUAUCUGAUGCAUUUUUGAGGGAACUGGUACAACAGCUUGAUAGGAUCUAAGAUGAAUGUGUGUCGACAUGUCGUCAAAAGGUUCUACUGCCUGUGUUGUUUGCUAGUUAACCAACUAUGUGCGCUUUCGAUUAGCACUGGUAUCACGCGUAGAAGUUAUUAAGGGGAAGAUCAAAUUCAAAAUGCAUUUAAAAGUUUAAAACAUAUCCUAUUCGUAUGAAGCUGUAUGUGAAGAAAAUCAAGGGGGUUAUAGUCCUUGGCUUGUUGCCAAGCGUCCAUCAAUUUUGUUUUGAGCUUGAAGAAGAAGAGUAUUAUACCCAGGUGUUCCAUUUGCCGAAAUUAGUCUCCAAGGGUCUGAUUAAGGAACAAAUUUCCUCACAUACAUUGCAGAUGAAUCAGAAGUCAUUUUUGGAGAAGUUUGUGAUCAAGUAUGAGCAAGAAGCUCCUGAGCUAUUGAAGGUAUAUUUGGCUUUCGGCAACUGUCAUGGACCGCGAAAAGUAACACGAUGCAGGAUAAGGGUUGUACAUUUUUCGCUGAUUCCAAAACCGAUCCUACAACCCAACACAAUGAGUAAGAUUGCCGCCAACAGAUAAAUUCAUUUUGUGGGUAUCCAAAUACAACGGUGAGUUGGCCGUGAAGUUGUCACACAACAACCAAGAGAUAUUCCUGCCUUCUUCAGAAACUCUAUUCAGGUAAUUUGGUGCAUGAAGCUGUCUAUCGAGGUUGCAAAGAGCAGUUCCACAUUUUCUGGACCUUUUGUGGUCAUGGAUAUCAUCUUCAGAUGAUGGUCAUUCCAUCUUCAGCCUUCAGCUUUAAGGUGGCUGUCUUUUUAUGUAUCAAUUCUGUUUCCAGGCGUCAUGGUGAUCCUCAGAUGAUUCGCUUUGGUGCACAUUCAGUGCUUGUUCUUAGAUAUGUGUUGGCUGGUGAAAUGAGAGAUACUUGCAGACGGAAGCUUAGGACUGUUGGUGACAUCAUCCUCCAGAUGUGAUUAUUAAUGGGUAGCCAGUUUGGGUAGCCCUUCAUUCAUUUAUAAGGAAGGUUAAAGCAAUUCUGCAGCUAAUUUGCUAUCGAUUUGAAUACCAAAAUUCAAUCACUGAUGCUAGCAAUUUUGGAUAGAACUUUCUUUUCCUUCAUUCUGGUGUCUUAAACCUUAGGCACAUGGAUAAGAUACAUGAAAUGCCUGCAAAUUUGGUAUGCUGGUGUCCUGCAUGGAUUCCCAGGGACUAGUUUUCUUACUUGUUUCUUGUUGGCAAAUACAGGUAUGCCUGUUAACAGGGCCGAUGUCAAAUAUUGAAUCUUCCCCUCAGCAGUGGAGUAUUUACCAUUUUCUCCUGAUAAUACGGAAGGAAGCUUAUUGAUAGGGUUUUGUGAGAUCUCGAGAAAUCAAACCUGGUAAAUAGAUGACGAAGCAUCAGAUGUUGCUGAGCAGCACAGGUUGCAGCCUCAUCAAAAAGCUAUGGUAUUCGGUGGCUCCGUUUCACACCCUCAUUAACCAUCAGUAAUGCUGAGGCUAUUGUGAGGGAACUCUUUUUAAGGGUAUUUAUACAUAGGUGAAGAAUCUUAAUCCUUGGGGAUAUGUAAGCUAGAUGGCAGAUGGUUCAGGGAUUGGAUUGUUAGCAUCGGUCUUUAACUAUCAUCUGCGUGUCCUUAGUAUGCUACAAAGACAAUGGCUGCAGGACCAAAAAGUCUGAAAUUCAGAAACAUUUUUAAUUGUGGACAUAUAAGCAGCUAGAAUGAGUAAUGGCUUCUGUAAUGUAGUAGUCACAACACUGACAUA